rnacentral:rRNA from 2 species
CGCACUCUCGUUUAGAUUGAAGGAGCUUGCUCCUGAUUGAUAAACAUUUGAGUGAGUGGCGGACGGGUGAGUAACACGUGGGUAACCUGCCCUAAAGUGGGGGAUAACAUUUGGAAACAGAUGCUAAUACCGCAUAAAACCUAACACCGCAUGGUGUAGGGUUGAAAGAUGGUUUCGGCUAUCACUUUAGGAUGGACCCGCGGUGCAUUAGUUAGUUGGUGAGGUAAAGGCUCACCAAGACCGUGAUGCAUAGCCGACCUGAGAGGGUAAUCGGCCACACUGGGACUGAGACACGGCCCAGACUCCUACGGGAGGCAGCAGUAGGGAAUCUUCCACAAUGGACGAAAGUCUGAUGGAGCAACGCCGCGUGAGUGAAGAAGGUUUUCGGAUCGUAAAACUCUGUUGUUGGAGAAGAAUGUAUCUGAUAGUAACUGAUCAGGUAGUGACGGUAUCCAACCAGAAAGCCACGGCUAACUACGUGCCAGCAGCCGCGGUAAUACGUAGGUGGCAAGCGUUGUCCGGAUUUAUUGGGCGUAAAGCGAGCGCAGGCGGUUUCUUAAGUCUGAUGUGAAAGCCUUCGGCUCAACCGAAGAAGUGCAUCGGAAACUGGGAAACUUGAGUGCAGAAGAGGACAGUGGAACUCCAUGUGUAGCGGUGAAAUGCGUAGAUAUAUGGAAGAACACCAGUGGCGAAGGCGGCUGUCUGGUCUGUAACUGACGCUGAGGCUCGAAAGCAUGGGUAGCAAACAGGAUUAGAUACCCUGGUAGUCCAUGCCGUAAACGAUGAGUGCUAGGUGUUGGAGGGUUUCCGCCCUUCAGUGCCGCAGCUAACGCAUUAAGCACUC